rnacentral:rRNA from 1 species
UGGUAAUUUGACCAUACAAAGGUAUUGAAAUAAGAUUUUAAUUGAGUGCUAAGAGAAUGGAUAAAUGAAGAAAGACUUUCUUAUAGAAAAUAAUAGAAUUUUAAUUAAGAAUAAAAAUGUUUUUAUAUUUUAAUGGGACAAGAAGACCCUAUGAACCUUUAUAUAAUAUUUAUUUUUUUAUAAAUAUUAUUUUUUAUUGGGGCGAUAAAAAAAUAUUAUUAAACUUUUUUAAGAAUUUUUUUUAAAAAAAAUAGUAUAAGGUACUCUAGGGAUAACAGCGUUAUUAUUUCGGAUAGUUCAUAUUGAUGAAGUAGUUUGCGACCUCGAUGUUGAAUUAAUGAUUCUUUUUGGUGUAGAAGCUUUAUUGAGAGAGAUUGUUCAUCUUUUAAAUCAUUA